UACGGAGGGUGCAAGCGUUAUCCGGAUUCACUGGGUUUAAAGGGUGCGUAGGUGGGCAAGUAAGUCAGUGGUGAAAUCUCCGGGCUUAACCCGGAAACUGCCAUUGAUACUAUUUGUCUUGAAUACUGUGGAGGUCAGCGGAAUAUGUCAUGUAGCGGUGAAAUGCUUAGGUAUGACAUAGAACACCAAUUGCGAAGGCAGCUGGCUACACAAAUAUUGACACUGAGGCACGAAAGCGUGGGGAUCAAACAGG
rnacentral:rRNA from 1 species